rnacentral:tRNA from 1 species
GCUGGAAUGGUCUAGUUGGUUAUGACGACUGCCUAACACGCAGUAGGUCCCGAGUUCGACUCUCGGUCCCAGUA